GCCGGUAUAGUCAUCGGGCAGGUCGAGUGUCACUCACGAAGUGGUUGUAGUAUGUCUCCAGUCCAUAUCACAGCCAGCUUUGAUGAGCGACAAUUGGCGAACUGGC
rnacentral:pre_miRNA from 1 species